GCUACGACUGACUGAAUUUCAUUGGAUGCUAGCGGACUAGCGGAGGGAUCAUUACUGAGUUACCGCUCUAUAACCCUUUGUGAACAUACCUAACCGUUGCUUCGGCGGGCAGGGGAAGCCUCUCGCGGGCCUCCCCUCCCGGCGCCGGCCCCCACCACCCCGACGGGGCGCCCGCCGGAGGAAACCAAACUCUAUUUACACGACGUCUCUUCUGAGUGGCACAAGCAAUAAUUAAAACAAAAUAACAACGGAUCUCUUGGUUCUGGCAUCGAUGAAGAACGCAGCGAAAUGCGAUAAGUAAUGUGAAUUGCAGAAUUCAGUGAAUCAUCGAAUCUUUGAACGCACAUUGCGCUCGCCAGCAUUCUGGCGAGCAUGCCUGUUCGAGCGUCAUUUCAACCCUCAAGCACCGCUUGGUUUUGGGGCCCCACGGCACACGUGGGCCCUUAAAGGUAGUGGCGGACCCUCCCGGAGCCUCCUUUGCGUAGUAACUAACGUCUCGCACUGGGAUUCGGAGGGACUCUUGCCGUAAAACCCCCAAAUUUUUUACAGGUUGACCUCGGGUACGACUUCAAGUCAUGCUAGCUAGCAGCUAGCGUACAGCUAGC
rnacentral:rRNA from 1 species